CCUAUCAUCCACCAUUGUGUGUUUGUGUAUACGACUAGGAUGACUGACAGAAUACCUGGGAAAGUCCUGGAGGCACUUUAUAUCUGUCCUAGGUUCUGAAAGAAUGGUUCCGGGCCAUGAAGCCAGGCCACGUAUUCUUAAGGCUCAGGUGGGCUAAUUAAACAGCCUCUCCCAGUAUUUGUGUGUGUGUGUGUGGGGGACUGGUAAUUGGAAAGAGACUGUGUUGUUCCACUGUGAGCUGGAGAUCGGGAACAGCACAAAGUUUGAUUAGAGAAAGAGAAGUGAAAAAUCCCUCCUAACAAACUGUAUCCUGAGAGCACUGACAGAGGCUCUCUGAGACUUGAUGCUUGACAUACUAAGCUGCCCAGUCUUAAGCCUUUGGAAAAGAUAAAGUCAGAAGGAUAAGAUGCAAAUGCAAGAACUUAGUCCUUAAAAAAGUGCUCUAAUGGUAAUAAAAAUGUGCUAUGUUUGUGCUCAUCAGCUGGAUUUUCUACUGACCAC